rnacentral:rRNA from 1 species
GACGAACGCUGGCGGCGUGCCUAAUACAUGCAAGUCGAACGCUUCUUUCCUCCCGAGUGCUUGCACUCAAUUGGAAAGAGGAGUGGCGGACGGGUGAGUAACACGUGGGUAACCUACCCAUCAGAGGGGGAUAACACUUGGAAACAGGUGCUAAUACCGCAUAACAGUUUAUGCCGCAUGGCAUAAGAGUGAAAGGCGCUUUCGGGUGUCGCUGAUGGAUGGACCCGCGGUGCAUUAGCUAGUUGGUGAGGUAACGGCUCACCAAGGCCACGAUGCAUAGCCGACCUGAGAGGGUGAUCGGCCACACUGGGACUGAGACACGGCCCAGACUCCUACGGGAGGGAGCAGUAGGGAAUCUUCGGCAAUGGACGAAAGUCUGACCGAGCAACGCCGCGUGAGUGAAGAAGGUUUUCGGAUCGUAAAACUCUGUUGUUAGAGAAGAACAAGGACGUUAGUAACUGAACGUCCCCUGACGGUAUCUAACCAGAAAGCCACGGCUAACUACGUG